rnacentral:tRNA from 3 species
GGGGACGUAGCUUAGUUGGAAGAGCGCCGCCUUUGCACGGCGGAGGUCAGGGGUUCGAAUCCCCUCGUCUCCACCA